rnacentral:lncRNA from 1 species
ACUGAUCAACAAGUUUUGCAAAAUUUUCACUCAUAGCAUCAAACUUAUUGUUCAUAUGAGCCGCAACACUAGUAUCAAUUAAAUUUGCAUUUUCUGAAAUAACACUAGAAGAUGGAUCAGAUUUUACCUUAGCUUGGGGAAUGUCACUUGUGACAUCCUUUAUCUUCUUGACAUUCCCUUGUUGAUCCACGGAGAAGUGUGAUACAUAUUGCUUCGUACCUUCUUCUUCCAGCUCCUAGAUCUCCCGCUCCUUCUUCUCACGGAUCUUCCUCCUGAUUUCAUCAAGUGCCUUUUGCUCCUCGGCUGACCGUUGCUCAAUCUUCAGCCUUAUAAGAACGCCGUUUCAAUUCCUCAAGUGGUGGUAUAGUAUGAGAUACUUUGAUCUUCCCAACUUUUAGCAACUCAUCAAAAAUCCUAUUACACUUGGCUACAUCGAAAGUAUACUUAAUUUCUUCUUGCCAAUUCUUAUGGACCAGCUUGAGAGAAGCACAAGUACUAGGUUUAUCUUUGUGUGACCAUGCAAAUUUAGCAGUUAAAACAUCAUUGCUUUCAUCAUCCGAAUGACCGGAUUCAU